rnacentral:misc_RNA from 1 species
AAAGUCGUAACAAGGUUUCCGUAGGUGAACCUGCGGAAGGAUCAUUAUAAAAUUUUACAUUUUUAUGUAAAAAAAAAUGUAUUCAAAACCCAUACUCUUAUAAACAAAAAAAUUAUAUAUAUAUUUAUAUAUAUAUUUAAAAUAAUAAAAAAAUGACAACUUUCAACAACGGAUCUCUUGGCUCUC